rnacentral:rRNA from 1 species
CCUACGGGAGACAGCAGUGAGGAAUAUUGGUCAAUGGACGCAAGUCUGAACCAGCCAUGCCGCGUGCAGGAAGACGGCUCUAUGAGUUGUAAACUGCUGUUGUACGAGGGUAAACGCAGAUACGCGUAUCUGUCUGAAAGUAUCGUACGAAUAAGGAUCGGCUAACUCCGUGCCAGCAGCCGCGGUAAUACGGAGGAUUCAAGCGUUAUCCGGAUUUAUUGGGUUUAAAGGGUGCGUAGGCGGUCGGAUAAGUUAGAGGUGACAUCCCGCGGCUCCACUGCGGAAUUGCCUCUGAUACUGUUCGGCUAGAGAGUAGUUGCGGUAGGCGGACUGUAUGGUGUAGCGG